AGGCUGCAGUCAAGAACCUUUCUCAAUGGGCGAAAGCCUGAAGAAGCGACGCCGCGUGUAUGAAGAAGCUCUUCGGAGUGUAAAAUACUUUUAUAGGGGAACAAUUUUUGAGCGUACCCUAUGAAUAAGGGGCUCCUAAACUCGUGCCAGCAGGAGCGGUAAUACGAGUGCCCCAAGCGUUAUCCGGAAUUACUGGGCGUAAAGCGUGCGCAGGCGGAUUGUUAAGCAAGAUGUGAAAUCCCCGGGCUUAACCUGGGAAUGGCAUUUUGAACUGGCAGUCUAGAGUGUGUCAGAGGGGGGUGGAAUUCCACGUGUAGCAGUGAAAUGCGUAGAGAUGUGGAGGAACACCGAUGGCGAAGGCAGCCCCCUGGGAUAACACUGACGCUCAUGUACGAAAGCGUGGGUAGCAAACAGGAUUAGAUACCCCUGUAGUC
rnacentral:rRNA from 1 species